CCAUCGUUUGCUAUAAUUUGCUUAUUAGGAGUUGGUGUAUUACUUUGGACGCUUAUGAUUGUUUUGUUUGGA
rnacentral:tRNA from 1 species